GCGCUUGAUCAAGGCCGCUGUCUAACAUGGGGCUCUUGUUAGUAUUUUCUUGAAUCAAAUGAAUCCUAUGUAAAAAACUUUUGGUAUCAGAACCGCUCUCUUUUUUAUAAACAAAAUUCAACGAGCUCAUGCGGUUGACCAACUUCGCUUAUCUACAAGGACAACCGGCUUCGGCGAGACCACCUUCCUUCUUGCCAAAAACUCC
rnacentral:lncRNA from 1 species